rnacentral:rRNA from 1 species
GAUUUCUGGCUUAAGACGCCUAGCCCGCCGAGGUUACUCGUGUGAGUGCCGGUGUGUCUUUGCCAUCCUUCUGGAAAAUAAUUCUACCCUUAAUUGGGACGGGAUUAUAAUCUAGAUCUUUUACUUUGAAAAAAUUAGAGUGUUUAAAGCAGGCUUGCGCUAUGAAUACAUUAGCAUGGAAUAAUAAUUUAGGACUUUGGUUCUAUUUUGUUGGUUUCUAGGACUGAAGUAAUGAUUGAUAGGGAUAGUUGGGGGUGCUAGUAUUCAGUGGCCAGAGGUGAAAUUCUUGGAUUCACUGAAGACUAACUUCUGCGAAAGCAUU